CCAGCUGCAGGGGGUCUCGUGCUCUGGAGAAAAGGCAGCGGCUGGAGAUACUCCAGGAAUGCCAGUCUGAGUAGGCCUAUGUUGCUGCAGAGGAAAGAGAUGGCUUCACUGCUGACGGGGUCCCAUCAAUUGAUGUGUCAAGAAGAAGUUGCAGAGCCUUGGUCAAACCAGAGGUUGCCAGGAUGUCAAACCCUGGGUGG